CUUAUGUCAAAAUAACGUAACACAAUCAAACUCUCACGCGCUUCCGGGAACUUCACCGCCGAUAUCGCGAGAUUUAAGCAACGCCUGGCUUCGGGAUUUCACCUGUUUUUCGCGCUCUUGUGAAAAGCAAUUACUGCCAUAGUGUUCUGAUCGUCUGUCCAGCUGCAAGUGUGCCUUCACCCUGCACUCUGAAGUCCAUCUGCAUCAGUCAUUACAGUUGUGAAAUGGCUGUUCCUGCCACAGUGAUUCUCAGAAUUAUUCUGGGCGAAAAUGAUUCGCAGAGAUUGAUCCUUAAAGACGGGUUACCAGAAUCUGUCAGUGAACUCAUACAGCAUAUAAAGAGGCAAUGUGGAGUAGAAGGGGACAUCAGACUCCAGUUCAUGGAUGCAGAUUUUAAUAAUGAGUUUACCAACCUGACCUCAAUGUCUGAUGUUAAGGACAAAAGCACUAUCAAAGUCAUCUUUAAUACAGUAGCCUCACACCAUCCUGCCCUGCCUGGUGACUCUGCCCCCCAGCCCUAUUCUACUGUUGCCUCCGCUCACUCUUUAGAUGACUCUGUGUCCCUUUCAUCUUGUACCUCAUUUGAUACAGACAUA